rnacentral:rRNA from 1 species
GACGAACGCUGGCGGCGUGCUUAACACAUGCAAGUCGAACGGAAAGGCCCUGCUUGCAUGGUACUCGAGUGGCGAACGGGUGAGUAACACGUGGGUGCUCUGCCCUGCACUUCGGGAUAAGCCUGGGCAACUGGGUCUAAUACCUGAUAGGAGACAUUUUUAGUGUGAUGGUUGGAAAGUUUUUUCGGUGUAGGAUGAGCUCGCGGCCUAUCAGCUUGUUGGUGGGGUAAUGGCCUACCAAGGCGGCGACGGGUAGCCGGCCUGGGAGGGUGGACGGCCACAUUGGGACUGAGAGACGGCCCAGACUCCUACGGGAGGCAGCAGUGGGGAAUAUUGCACAAUGGGCGCAAGCCUGAGGCAGCGGCGCCGCGUGGGGGAUGACCGCUUUCGGGUUGUAAACGCCGUUCGCUAGGGACGAAGCUUUUUGUGACGGUACCUAGAGAAGAAGCACCGGCUAACUACGUG